rnacentral:rRNA from 1 species
UACGUAGGGGGCAAGCGUUGUCCGGAAUCAUUGGGCGUAAAGAGCGUGUAGGCGGCCCGGUAAGUCCGCUGUAAAAGUCAAAGGCUCAACCUUUGAAUGUCAGUGGAUACUGCCGGGCUAGAGUCCGGAAGAGGCGAGUGGAACUCCUGGUGUAGCGGUGGAAUGCGCAGAUAUCAGGAAGAACACCAACGGCGAAGGCAGCUCGCUAGGACGGUACUGACGCUGAGACGCGAAAGCGUGGGGAGCAAACAGG